rnacentral:tRNA from 1 species
CAGAGCGUAGCUAAAGAGCAUAGCAUCUCCCUUACACUGAGAAGACGCCCGUGCAAACCGGGUCGCACUGA